rnacentral:rRNA from 1 species
ACUCCUACGGGAGGCAGCAGUGGGGAAUAUUGCACAAUGGGGGAAAGCCCUCGAUGCAGCCAUGCCGCGUGUGUGAAGAAGGCCUUCGGGUUGUAAAGCACUUUCAGCGAGGAGGAAAGGGUGUAAGUUAAUACCUUACAUCUGUGACGUUACUCGCAGAAGAAGCACCGGCUAACUCCGUGCCAGCAGCCGCGGUAAUACGGAGGGUGCGAGCGUUAAUCGGAAUUACUGGGCGUAAAGCGUGCGCAGGCGGUUUGUUAAGCGAGAUGUGAAAGCCCCGGGCUCAAGCCUGGAACCGCAUUUCGAACUGGCAACUAGAGUCUUGUAGAGGGGGGUAGAAUUGCCAGGUGUCAGCGG